rnacentral:rRNA from 1 species
AUUGAACGCUGGCGGCAGGCCUAACACAUGCAAGUCGAACGAGCGGCGGACGGGUGAGUAAUGUAUGGGGCACUGCCUGAUGGAGGGGGAUAACUACUGGAAACGGUAGCUAAUCCCGCAUACCAUCAGAUGACCCCAUAUGGGAUUAGCUUGUAGGUGGGGUAACGGCUCACCUAGGCGACGAUCCCUAGCUGGUCUGAGAGGAUGACCAGCCACACUGGAACUGAGACACGGCCCAGACUCCUACGGGAGGCAGCAGUGGGGAAUAUUGCACAAUGGGCGAAAGCCUGAUGCAGCAAUGCCGCGUGUAUGAAGAAGGCCUUCGGGUUGUAAAGUACUGUCAGUAGGGAGGCGGUACCGACAGAAGAAGCACCGGCUAACUCCGUGCCAGCAGCCGCGGUAAUAC